rnacentral:rRNA from 1 species
CAGCAGCCACGGUAAAACAGAGGGUGCAAGCGUUAAUCGGAUUUACUGGGCGUAAAGGGCGCGUAGGUGGUUAUUUAAGUGAGAUGUGAAAGCCCCGGGCUUAACCUGGGAACUGCAUCUUAUACUGGGUAACUGGAGUGCAGUAGAGGGUAGUGGAAUUUCCGGUGUAGCGGUGAAAUGCGUAGAUAUCGGAAGGAACACCAGUGGCGAAGGCGGCUACCUGGACUGAGACUGACACUGAGGCGCGAGAGCGUGGGGAGCAAACAGGAUUAGAUACCCGCGUAGUCCCUGUCUCUUAUAC